rnacentral:misc_RNA from 1 species
GACUAUUCGUUAACCCAAAACCCCCACACUUUCCCCUUUUUCUUCCGUCGAUAAAUCCAAUUUUUCAGUAGGAGGAGGAAAAUUCAAUCGCCGAUCGAUUAAUUACGAUGAAUUUUCUAUUCGGCAAGAGAAAAACUCCGGCAGAACUCCUGCGUGAAAACAAGCGUAUGCUUGAUAAAUCUAUCCGAGAAAUAGAAAGGGAGAGACAG